UACGAAGGGGGCUAGCGUUGCUCGGAAUCACUGGGCGUAAAGCGCACGUAGGCGGAUCGUUAAGUUGGGGGUGAAAUCCUGGAGCUCAACUCCAGAACUGCCUUCAAUACUGGCGAUCUAGAGUCCGGAAGAGGUGAGUGGAACUCCUAGUGUAGAGGUGGAAUUCGUAGAUAUUAGGAAGAACACCAGUGGCGAAGGCGGCUCACUGGUCCGGUACGGACGCUGAGGUGCGAAAGCGUGGGGAGCAAACAGG
rnacentral:rRNA from 1 species